CACGUCGCCCGCCCUAGUCUGCUUUUGUGAAUCUCCACUUUGUUCAACCCCCACCCGCCGUCUCUCCCUCCCUGCGCCUUCCCUCUAACCUUAAAGACCCAGCUACCUCUACGCAAAUGGUAGCUACCUCUGCGCAGGUGGAAGUUGAGUUCGGUUCACGCGGGACCCUCUUCCCUGUGGCAAGCUGCUGAAGGAGACCUGCUGUUACUGCUUUAGCUGCUGUUCUGCUUAAUCUCAGACAGCUGGAAGGUAGUAUUCCGCCCUCGCCCAGCCACCCGAGUAAAUGAGAAUGAUGACUGACUGAGACCCUGAUGGUGGUGGCUUAGGCUUAAUCUCAGACAGCUGGAAGGUAGUAUUCCGCCCUCACCCAGCCACCCGAGUAAAUGAGAAUGAUGACUGACUGAGACCCUGAUGGUGGUGGCUUAGGCAAGAUGAACGUCUGAAAUGGAGGCCCAGGGCUGCCACGAUGGCUCUGUAGUCAUCAGGGAGGGAGCUCCUUUUAUCUUGUUACCUACUCCCCUCUUGUGCCCCUUUCUUCCCUUGAUCUAAGAAGGUUGCUCCGGAUCUCGCCAUCUGGCCUGCGUUCAAUCAGCAGAAGCUUCCUGGAGGAGCAGGAGGAGGCACUGUGCUCGCAUCACAUACCAGUGGCCAGAAGUUGGCUUCAGGGAAGCUCAGGAAAUAGGAUGCGAGAAGCCAUGAGACCUCCCCAAACUCUGCAGUAACAGAGUCAACAAGACAAUGGCUUAAAGAUGGAGAGACCAGUUGAUCGGUCACACAAGCUGUUCCACGAUAAUUCUUGUGUCAGAAGGGGAGGCUGACUACCAGGACCACUGGCCCCACUUCCAGCCCCUCCAUUCUGAGUACACUUCAGAGGGCUCUGGCAGGGUGAGGGGGUCUUGGUGGUGCCACAGAGAGUAAAGGUCUAGCACACCCAUUGUGGAGAUAUUUCAUGGGGACAACCCAGUGACUUCACUUGAAGUAAAGUGGGAUUUUCCAACCUUGAGAUUCUUAUUUUCUUUGCUCCAGCUGGUCCUUCCAUUCGGGGUCCCUGACUUCCCGCAACAUAGAACCCUCAAAUAGAUGAAGCACGUGCCCAGCUUCCUUUCAAGUCUCUGGCCAAUGCAAUGUGAGCAGAAGUGAAGGGGCAACUUUCAGGUGAUGACUUGGAAAAGAAAGCUUAGUCCUCUGCUUCUCCUGUCACCCGAAAGAGAAACAGAGGCUUGUCUUGUUGAAGCCAGUGUGUUUGGUGUCUUUUUGUAUAGUGGCUUAGACAGUGGCCUAACUAGAAGACCAAGGCUCAAAGGAACACAUUUUGAGCUUCUCCACAGUUUGAGAACCUCUACAUUACCUACACCAAGCCUUCCCCAGCACUCAAUUUAUGGAAGACCAUUUCUCUUCUCAUGACACAUGUCCUCAUGUUGCUUUGGCCUGUUUUAAAGCUUUCUCAACUCCAUCUCAAUAAAGAAAUCUGCAGCUUUGUUGGAUGAGAGGAUCUAAAAAGUUCGUUCUUCCAAUCGGUUGUAAAUAUAGACACUAAUUUAUAAACUGACACAGGAACACACAGCAAAUUAGUAGAAAAUCCGAUUCCUGUUCCCUUUUCUCCUUGCAUUGUUUCCUGCCAAUGCUCACCAUUUCUUUAUCCUUUCCACUCUUCCUUGCUCCUCCUUCCCUUUAAUUUUUCUCUGUUGUGCCUAAAUAAGCUGUCCAUGCAUGGCACUCCAUGGGCUCUGAUAACAGACUCAACAAGACAAUGACUUAAAGAUGGAGUGACCAGCUGAUCAGUCACACAAGUUGUUCCAGUGUAAUUAUUUUCACAGGU
rnacentral:lncRNA from 1 species